GAGAUUCCUGCAUACCUGAAGCCUUCCAAAGGGUGGAUUGUUUCAGGGGAGACUAAAAGCCAAGCUAGAAGUUCUCCUCUGAGAAGGACUAAAGUGUCAUUGGUGCCACCUUGUUUCUCAACCAUUCUGAGUCCAGAGAAACAGCAUAAGUCUACUGGUUGAAACUGGGUGGAAGUAACCAACUGACUAGUCUUGCAGUAGCUGCACGUGAUGUUUGAAGAGAGCAGGAUGUGUUCUG